UGGGGAAUAUUGGACAAUGGGGGCAACCCUGAUCCAGCAAUGCCGCGUGUGUGAAGAAGGUCUUCGGAUUGUAAAGCACUUUCGACGGGGACGAUGAUGACGGUACCCGUAGAAGAAGCCCCGGCUAACUUCGUGCCAGCAGCCGCGGUAAUACGAAGGGGGCUAGCGUUGCUCGGAAUGACUGGGCGUAAAGGGCGUGUAGGCGGUUUACACAGUCAGAUGUGAAAUCCCCGGGCUUAACCUGGGAGCUGCAUUUGAUACGUGUAGACUAGAGUGUGAGAGAGGGUUUGUGGAAUUCCCAGUGUAGAGGUGAAAUUCGUAGAUAUUGGGAAGAACACCGGUGGCGAAGGCGGCAACCUGGCUCAUGACUGACGCUGAGGCGCGAAAGCGUGGGGAGCAAACAGGAUUAGAUACCCUGGUAGUCCACGCUGUAAACGAUGUGUGCUAGAUGUUGGGUAACUUUGUUAU
rnacentral:rRNA from 1 species